GCAGCAGGCGCGAAACCUUUACACUGCACGCCAGUGCGAUAAGGGGAUCCCGAGUGCGCAGGCAUAGAGCCUGCGCUUUUCUGAACUGUAGGAAGGUUGAGGAACAAGAGCUGGGCAAGACCGGUGCCAGCCGCCGUGGUAAUACCGGCAGCUCGAGUGAUGGCCGAUCUUAUUGGGCCUAAAGCGUCCGUAGCUGGCCGUGCAAGUCCGUCGGGAAAUCCACCCGCUCAACGGGUGGGCGUCCGGCGGAAACUGCAAGGCUUGGGACCGGGAGGCUUGAAGGGUACGUCCGGGGUAGGAGUGAAAUCCCGUAAUCCUGGACGGACCGCCGAUGGGGAAACCACUUCAAGAGAACGGAUCCGACAGUGAGGGACGAAAGCUAGGGUCUCGAACCGGAUUAGAUACCCGGGUAGUCCUAGCCGUAAACGAUGCUCGUUAGGUGUGGCGCAGGCUGCGAGCCUGCGCUGUGCCGUAGGGAAGCCGAGAAACGAGCCGCCUGGGAAGUACGUCCGCAAGGAUGAAACUUAAAGGAAUUGGCGGGGGAGCACUACAACCGGAGGAGCCUGCGGUUUAAUUGGAGUCAACGCCGG
rnacentral:rRNA from 1 species